UACGCAGGGGGCUAGCGUUGUUCGGAAUCACUGGGCGUAAAGGGCGCGUAGGCGGCCGAUCAAGUCGGGGGUGAAAGCCUGUGGCUCAACCACAGAAUUGCCUUCGAUACUGUUUGGCUUGAGACCGGAAGAGGUUAGUGGAACUGCGAGUGUAGAGGUGAAAUUCGUAGAUAUUCGCAAGAACACCAGUGGCGAAGGCGGCUGACUGGUCCGGUUCUGACGCUGAGGCGCGAAAGCGUGGGGAGCAAACAGG
rnacentral:rRNA from 1 species